UCUCAGCCCUCUCAUGGGAUCCUGACGUUGAUUCCUGGCAUAGCGUACCCCACCAGUCUUGCACUGACCAAGCCAAAUUCUGACUCCCGAGUUUCCUGUGGCUUAAACAGCAGUGGGGUUUAUGCCCCUCCCCCACUCAGAAGUCCACUCACGGGCGGCCCAGGGCUGGCAGCAGGAGUGGUAAGGGAUUAUUUGGGGUCAUCUAUCUGGGUUGGGGACCUCCUGAGUUCUCUCUCAGCGUCUCACCUUGCCUCCUAGCAGAGCCUUGCUAGCUUCUCUCCGCCAAUCCCAAGCUGCUGGUCCUACCAAGAACCGCACUUCUCUCUAACACCCCCGCCCCAUUUGCAAGCCCGUAGCAUCACAUCCGUGCGCCUCGGUGUGACGGGGUGAAACUGGAUGCUGCAUGAAUGGGCUGCUGGUCGGACCAAGAAGAGUGCUUCUCUCUAACCCGCCCCCCAUGCGCAAAUCAGUGGCGUCACAUUCGGGCACCUGGUGUGACGCCUGGACUGCUUUCUCUCUGCCAAUCCCAAGCUGUGGGUCAGCCCGAGAAUCUCACUUCUGUCUGACUCCAGUGCGCAAUUCAGUGGCGUCACAUCUGGACACCUGAGGCUUCCCUGGGUUGAAAGUGGGGGCUGAACCGGAUGCUGCUUCGAGCCUGGCCCGCUUCCCUCUGCCAAUCCCAAGCUGCCAGUCAAUUGGAGAAUCUCCCUUCUCUCUAAACCCCCAUGAGCAAGUCAGUGGCGUCACAUCUGGGCACCCGGGGCUUCCCUGUGUUGAAAGCUGGGGCGGAACCAGAUUCUGCUUGGAUGUGGG